rnacentral:rRNA from 1 species
UACGUAGGGUGCGAGCGUUGUCCGGAAUUAUUGGGCGUAAAGAGCGUGUAGGCGGCCACACAGGUCCGCUGUGAAAACUCGAGGCUCAACCUCGAGCUGUCGGUGGAAACCGUGUGGCUAGAGUCCGGAAGAGGAGAGUGGAAUUCCCGGUGUAGCGGUGAAAUGCGCAGAUAUCGGGAGGAAUACCGAUGGCGAAGGCAGGUCUCUGGGCUGACACUGACGCUCAUGCACGAAAGCGUGGGGAGCAAACAGG